rnacentral:lncRNA from 1 species
CGAGUUCGCAUCACCACCUCUGGGAAUAAUUCAUCAACAACAUUUUGAAGCCCCUUCUAGCGAUCUGUCAUCAAUGUCCAACCACUUCCCGUACCAAUGUUAACAUCUUCAGCUAGCGCCCUCAUGAACCACCUCCAGGUGGGGUUGUUUUCUUUCUCAACCACGGCGUAUGCAAUGGGAUAAUUGCAGUCAUUUGCAUCUUGAUUGACAAUCGUUAACAAUAUUCCACUAAAACAUUCCCUUAGGUGGCAACCAUCCACUCUAAUCACCUUCCUACAACCACUAACAAAACCUAUCUUACAUGCUUGAAAAUAUAUGUAUAUGCCCUGAAAUUUUUGGUUGAAAGUGUUAAUUAUGACAGUAGAUCCUAUAUUCGUACGUAACACCUCGGCACCAUACGACCACAGUUGUUGAAAUUGUUGUUCAAUUGUCCCAUGCACUAGUUUCUUUGCAUAUCUUCUCAUUUUCCAUGCAGCGUUCCUUGUUAUUUCAGUUUUGAAAUCCUCCUUCACUACCGCUAAUAUGAUCUUUGUUUUCCAUUCCAUAUCCGCUUUGAACCUCUCAAUGUAAUGACGUGUCAGGAAUUUAUAGUUGUAGUGCCUAUUAUACUGGUCUCUAUUGCAGUUGUGCUCAUGAGAGUAUGACUUCACCUGAACGGUUCUCGUGUCACCCAGCGACGAUGCCCAAAAUCUCCAAUUGCAAUCAUGUUUACAUAUUCCUUCACCCUCCCCGGGUCAUUUGCCUUAAAUCUUACGUUGUAUCCAUUCACAGCUCCGUAGGUUCUCAUAGCCUUUCCGAACUCAACCCCAUCUCUAACUAGCUAACCACCUUCAAAAUGCGGAUUACACAUGUCAACCUCGGCUAAAAACUCUGAAAAAUGGUAGCUAACUCCUCAUCAGAUACACAGUUAGCUUGAAUCUCUUCAGAACUUGGGUACUCCAAGUCAUCGACCGCAUCCACAUCUUCCUGCUAAUUCUGUACUGCCUCUUCUGCUUCACCAAAAUUCGUAACUAAUUUUAUCCCAUCUAUCACAUUCAAUUCAUACAGAAGGUCAUCUCCUUUGGAGUCCAAUCCAUUCCCACUAUCAGUUGUCUGAACCAGAUUCUUGCCCACCAUGCGAAUCUCCAUGGUUUGAAGGUUUGUCAUUUGCAGAGUUGUGGUGUUCUUGAAAUGGGUCAUAAUCUGCAAAUC